UAGGGAAUCUUCGGCAAUGGGGGGAACCCUGACCGAGCAACGCCGCGUGAGUGAAGAAGGUUUUCGGAUCGUAAAGCUCUGUUGUUAAGGAAGAACGAGUGUGAGAAUGGAAAGUUCAUGCUGUGACGGUACUUAACCAGAAAGGGACGGCUAACUACGUGCCAGCAGCCGCGGUAAUACGUAGGUCCCGAGCGUUGUCCGGAUUUAUUGGGCGUAAAGCGAGCGCAGGCGGUUAGAAAAGUCUGAAGUGAAAGGCAGUGGCUCAACCAUUGUAGGCUUUGGAAACUGUUUAACUUGAGUGCAGAAGGGGAGAGUGGAAUUCCAUGUGUAGCGGUGAAAUGCGUAGAUAUAUGGAGGAACACCGGUGGCGAAAGCGGCUCUCUGGUCUGUAACUGACGCCGAGGCUCGAAAGCGUGGGGAGCGAACAGG
rnacentral:rRNA from 1 species